rfam:Oleiphilus sp. HI0009 HI0009_c29, whole genome shotgun sequence.
CUAUUAGUUAAAUAAAUCCGCACAUGAUUCGUCACGUUUAACUGGGUGCUUGAUAGCUUUUGUCUUGAUGGUUGUUAAAUGGGGGUCGUGGAGGUUCAAC